UGGGAUGUAGCUCAGUGUUAAAGCACUUACCUAACAUGUGUGAGGCCCUAGGUUCAAUCCCUAGUACCACAA
rnacentral:tRNA from 1 species